UGCCAGAUAGUGUAAUGGUAACACAGCAGACCUUGACUCUGUUAAGUGUAGGUUCGAGUCCUACUCUGGCAUCCA
rnacentral:tRNA from 1 species